UCCUUACAUUGUUGAAAACCACCCCACCAAAAAAACCAUUUUGCUUAUAAACAUUGAUAUUUAUUAGAAAUUAAAAUGGAGAAAUUUCAUGAUGUUGUUUCUCCAGUUUGUUGCAAUAUCACCUUUCCGGUAGCCUCCGGAAAUCUCCAUUCUGCAUUCAUGUGCUCAUGAGAAUGAAAUCAACAAAUAACACCUUAGUAUCCAUAUAGAGAUAUUUUGGCUUGUGUGGACCUCCUACAAGGGUCAUGGGAGCCCCGAGAGUUUGUGGACCUCACUUUGAGAAUCACUGUUCUACAUAAUUCCUGUGGCUGUUUUUAACACCAUGGGCUUCUGUCUUCCUCCUACCUUCCUGGCUCCUGCUUCUUGUUAGGUUUCCAAGGGAAGGUGAGGGUUAAAGACACACAUAGAGCGAGAGGGCGGCUCAACAGCAAAUGCAGGUAUUUAUGUCCAGGUAAACCUGCCGAGGUGGAGGACCAGCUUAAUGCCAGUGCCCACCACUGCUUACAGGCUGGGAUACUUGUAGGUAUGGCAGGGAGGGGUCUGGGCAGUAUGGCGUGCUGCCAGGGAAGAUGUUGAGAAGACGUUCCCACAAUGAGGCAGUUGGGGCCUUGUUCCCACAGAAUGUAAUAAUGAUGUUCCUUGGACUUUUUCUCAGCAGAAUGUGUUAAAGUCAGGCGGUUGGGCAGGCAGGUUCUCAUGGCCCGAACCCUCGUGGAAUGUUUCACUUUGACCAAGGUCUGCAUAUUGGCAGGGAGCUUACAAAAUGGUGCAUUUUGGAUUAACAGGUCUCAGUCUUGGGCUCCUCGUUGUCUGACAGAUCCUAAAUCUUGGCCCCUGCUGUUCCAGGUUCUCUUCUCAUCAUGCAUGUUCUCUGGGUAAUUUCAUUCACUCCUAAGGCUUAAAACAUCAUCUCUCUGCUGAAGGCUUCUAAAUCUCUUUCCCUAGCUCGGAGCCCUUUUCUGAGAUUCAGAUCCAUGUGUAGUUUGAUCUGGUGGGCACUGGUACUUUUGUAUUCCACAGGUAUCUUUGGCAACUAUCUACUUCUUUCUAUCUUCAGGGCUAUUCUUUCAGGGUCAUUCUAGCAGUCCCUAGCAGAGUUUACUGUCCUUGUCCCCGCCUGCUUUUGGUCCAUUCUCCAUCAUUGUAGAGAGAUAUAUUUAAUCAAAUCUUCUCAUUCAUGAUUAGGUCAUGUCAGUGCCUUUCCAUUAGUCUUUGGAUAAAGGCUAAGCAUUUUAAAAUGCUUAAUGGCUUUUUGUGAUAUGACUCUUACCUAAAACUCUCCAGCUUGUGUUUUGCAGUUUGUCCCUUCUCUUGAACUUCAUCUUUCAGUCACACUGAACUUUCAGGCUCUCCUAAUGGCUAUGUGUUCUCAUCCUCUGGGCAUUUACCUCUGCUGUUCCAGGAAAUGGUCUUCAACAUCUUCAGAUACCUAGAAGGUUUGCCCCUCAGUGGGAAGAAAGCUUCCAACUCCCAGCGGUUCCAGCAGAAGUCCUGGGGCUGGAGAGCUGUUCCUGAGUUGCCUGUGAUCACAUACCACACCUGAUGGCAUCACUGUAUCCAGGCUCCAGGUGCAUAGAAUGUUGUGAGGUCAUGACUGCCAGCAUUAUGACCAGUCUUGGAACUAGGAUUGGGGUGGGGUUCAUCCCACCCAGACCACAGAGACUGAAAAUAAGAAAGGGGUGAGGCCUAAGGGACAAUCAGGAUGUUUUUCAGAGAGAAGUGUGGAUGCUGGACAGGAAGAACCACAGAUACCAGAUACGGGUACUGUUGUAACUCUGUUCUCCAUGAAAAGACAUACUUUAUUCAGCUGGGUGCUGAAAAAGAAUCUUGGAAAUUAGGAAACUGAAUGAGGCCUCAUUUCACACUCAGAAUGUGGGUUGCAAUAGUCACUUCCUCUGCUGCUGGGAAAGAAAGAAUUAUACUACCUUUUGAAUUUUGGAUUAAGGAGAGAGGUGUUGGCUUGUCAAACUACCAUGUAUUCCUCAAGACAUAUUUUUGUGGCUUUAUAAAAUUCAAUAUAUAUGUCUAAAUUCAAAAAUAUUUUGUUGCAAUCUGGCCCUUGGACAAACUGAGGCCCUAGCAACUGAUGUUUAUGGCUUUCCGUAGAACCUUUCAGAUAAAAUUUACACAGCAUUUUACUGCAGCUAUUUCACACAAAGCAGAGGAUUUUGCCACAAAACUGAAAGAAAAAAGAAACUGCAUUCUUAAAUUUUUCAUAAAUCAAAAGGUAUAAAAAUAUCUACCUAAACGAUAAAGGAGAUGAGAAACCCCACCCAUGAUGGGAAGAAAGCCUAUUUCAGUUUUGCCUUUACUUCAAGUUCUUUUUUCCAUAUCUGGAAUGCAAUCAGAAUUUUAAUCUUGCCUUGGGUUCCUCCUGGAUUUGGGGAGAAGACAAAACCUGAAAAUCUCUAAUCUGCAUGUGUUCAGCUGCGUAUCUUCUGGAUACGGAAGGAUCACACUGCACAGAGUGCUGGACUUGCAGGAGCCCCGCUUCUCAACCUCCAUCGCUUUAUGAAUGAAUUCACCAGAAAGAAAAGGAAGAAUCAACACUUUCAGAGAUGGAGCCUGUUGAGCCACAGUACCAACUAGUCAAUGCUGAAUCGACUUCUCCCUUUCUACAUUGCCUGAGAGAAGUCAUUGGGGAAUACUCUGUACACGAAUUUUCACUGUUGGGGAAAACAGAGAGUCAAGGGAUUGGAUUGUGGAUUGCAUUGGUGGUUUUCCUCAGUUUCCUCAUCUUCUCCACAAGUUUCUACAUAUCGAAUGCAGAGCAGCCCUUCUUCAAAGGACCUCCUACGGAAGCUGCUAAGGAACUCAGUCUGUAGCUCUGCGUGGAGCCAUGUGUAAACACUGAACUGAGACCUGCCACCUCCUACUACCUAAGGGCCCAUUUUCAUCUGAUAUCAUCCCCCAGAAACAAACUCAUGAUGACUUCCAUGUUUUUUUUAGAUUAGAUACAUGGAGAAUUUUCCUUUCCCUUAGAAUUAAAAUCCUGCAUUCUAAUUUUCAGGUAAAACUUUUUCGUCUCUACAGAACUCUCUCCAAGUGCACACCCAUAGAUUGGUUUGCUUGUGGAAUCCUAGCAUAUCAGAAAUGAAGGAAUCUCAGAAAUUGUUUUCAUCAAACACCUCAUAUGCAGAAGGCAAAAUGAAGGUUCAGAGCAGAAAUGAUUUGUCCAAGGAUGCAACACUCAUCUGCAGCAGAGGGAAGCUGAGCUCUGCAGACCCACCUAGCACUGCAGAGGCAGCCCUCUAGGACAAGGCUUCAUAAAAAAGUGACUUUAUGAGUUGGCUCCAUAAAAAAGAUACAGAUUAAGAAAUUGUUUAAACAGUGAUCUCUAUAUAAUUACUCUUUUAUUUAAAAGUAUGGGCUGGGAGCGGUGGCUGACGCCUGUAAUCCCAGCACUUUGGGAGGCCGAUGUGAGCAGAUAACCUGAGGUCGGGAGUUAGAGACCAGCCUGACCAACAUGGAGAAACUCCGUCUCUACUAAAAAUACAAAAUUAGCAGGGUGUGGUGGUGCAUGCCUGUAAUCCCAGCUACUCGGGAGGCUGAGGCAGGAGAACUGCUUGAACCCAGGAGGCAGAGGUUGUGGUGAGCCGAGAUCGCGCCAUUGCACUCCAGCCUGGGCAACAAGAGCGAAAC
rnacentral:lncRNA from 1 species